rnacentral:rRNA from 1 species
GUUCCUUGGAAAAGGACAGCUGAGAGGGUGACACUCCCGUCCGCCUGGUAGAAUGAGUCUUUGUCAACGAGUCGAGUUGUUUGGGAUUGCAGCUCUAAUUUGGUGGUAAAUUCCAUCUAAAGCUAAAUAUUGGUGGGAGACCGAUAGCGUACAAGUACCGUGAGGGAAAGAUGCAAAGAACUUUGAAAAGAGAGUUAAAGAGUACCUGAAAUUGCUGAAACGGAAGCGAAGGAAACCAGUGUUUGUUGGUUCAUAUUUCCCUGGCCACUUGUGGUUUGGGCGCUGUGAGCUUGCGUGGGUUUGCUUUGGUUGAUCCCUUUGGAAGAGCGCAGUCAGAGUUGAUGUCU